rnacentral:lncRNA from 1 species
UCUCUUCAAAGUCAAAGUUUUAUUUUCCUUGUACCAGAUUUAAAGCCUCCGUUUGGAGAAGGUUAUAAUUUAAUUGCUUUUAUUUAUUUUACUUGUCAUUCUUUACUUUAUUUAAUUUCUUGGCACGCUUUACUUAAUUUAUUUCCUUGUCAUCGUCUUUACAUUAUUUAAUUUUCUCGCCGUUAUCUUUAUUGCUCGUUUUAAUCAUUUUAC